rnacentral:rRNA from 1 species
UGCCUAAAGGAGCCGUAGCCGGUUUGGUCAGUCCUCCGGGAAAUCUGACGGCUCAACCGUUAGGCUUUCGGGGGAUACUGCCAGGCUUGGAACCGGGAGAGGUAAGAGGUAUUACAGGGGUAGGAGUGAAAUCUUGUAAUCCCUGUGGGACCACCUGUGGCGAAGGCGUCUUACCAGAUCGGGUUCGACGGUGAGGGACGAAAGCUGGGGGCACGAACCGGAUUAGAUACCCGGGUAGUCCCAGCCGUAAACGAUGCUCGCUAGGUGUCAGGCAUGGCGCGACCGUGUCUGGUGCCGCAGGGAAGCCGUGAAGCGAGCCACCUGGGAAGUACGGCCGCAAGGCUGAAAGUUAAAGGAAUUGGCGGGGGAGCACAACAGCGGGUGGAGCCUGCGGUUUAAUUGGACUCAACGCCGGACAACUCACCGGGGGCGACAGCAAUAUGUAGGCCAAGCUGAAGACUUUGCCUGAAUCGCUGAGAGGAGGUGCAUGGCCGUCGCCAGUUCGUACUGUGAAGCAUCCUGUUAAGUCAGGCAACGAGCGAGACCCGUGCCCACUGUUACCAGCAUAUCCUCCAGGAUGAUGGGUACUCUGUGGGGACCGCCGGUGUUAAAUCGGAGGAAGGUGCGGGCCACGGU